AAUUGGAGGGCAAGUCUGGUGCCAGCAGCCGCGGUAAUUCCAGCUCCAAUAGCGUAUAUUAAAGUUGUUGCAGUUAAAAAGCUCGUAGUUGAAUUUCGGGAUCAAUAUUUCGGUCAUGCCGUUGGUAUGCACUGUUAUCAUUGAUUUCUCACCUUCUAAAGAACCAUAAUGCCAUUAAUUUGGUGUUACGGGGAGUUAGGACUGUUACCUUGAAAAAAUUAGAGUGUUUAAAGCAGGCUCACGCUUGAAUACAUUAGCAUGGAAUAAUGAAAUAGGACAUCCGAUUCUAUUUUGUUGGUUUCUAGGAUCGAUGUAAUGAUUAAUAGGGAUAGUUGGGGGCAUUAGUAUUCAAUUGUCAGAGGUGAAAUUCUUGGAUUUAUUGAAGACUAACUACUGCGAAAGCAUUUGCCAAGGAUGUUUUCAUUAAUCAAGAACGAAAGUUAGGGGAUCGAAGACGAUCAGAUACCGUCGUAGUCUUAACCAUAAACUAUGCCGACUAGGGAUCGGAUGAUGUUAAUUUUUUAAUGACUCAUUCGGCGCCUUACGGGAAACCAAAGUGU
rnacentral:rRNA from 1 species